rnacentral:rRNA from 1 species
GAUGAACGCUGGCUGUGUGCCUAAUACAUGCAUGUCGAGCGGAAGUAGCAAUACUUUAGCGGCGAAUGGGUGAGUAACACGUGCUUAAUCUACCUCUUAGAUUGGAAUACCUAAUGGAAACAUUGGUUAAUGCCGGAUACGCAUGGAGUCGCAUGACUCCGUUGUGAAAGGGGCCUUUAAAGCUCCACUAAGAGAUGAGGGUGCGGAGCAUUAGCUAGUUGGUGAGGUAACGGCCCACCAAGGCUAUGAUGUUUAGCCGGGUCGAGAGACUGAACGGCCACAUUGGGACUGAGAUACGGCCCAAACUCCUACGGGAGGCAGCAGUAGGGAAUAUUCCACAAUGAGCGAAAGCUUGAUGGAGCGACACAGCGUGCACGAUGAAGGUCUUAUGGAUUGUAAAGUGCUGUUGCAAGGGAAGAAAAAGUAGUUGAGGAAAUGCUUCUACAUUGACGGUACCUUGUUAGAAAGCGAUGGCUAACUAUGUGCCAGCAGCCGCGGUAAUACAUAGGUCGCAAGCGUUAUCCGGAAUUAUUGGGCGUAAAGCGUUCGUAGGCUGUUUAUUAAGUCUGGAGUCAAAUCCCAGGGCUCAACCCUGGCUCGCUUUGGAUACUGGUAAACUAGAGUUGGAUAGAGGUAAGCGGAAUUCCAUGUGAAGCGGUGAAAUGCGUAGAUAUAUGGAAGAACACCAAAGGCGAAGGCAGCUUACUGGGUUUAUACUGACGCUGAGGAACGAAAGCGUGGGGAGCAAACAGG